rfam:Ralstonia eutropha H16 chromosome 2
UGCGUUUUUCGCCCAGGCGGAGCUCGACCGCCGAUUCAAGUCUUGAGGGACUUCAUCGACGAGUACCGAGGCACCCUCGGGGUCGAGCCGAUCUGCAGGGUGCUGCAGGUCGCCCCG